UACGUAGGGUGCAAGCGUUAAUCGGAAUUACUGGGCGUAAAGCGUGCGCAGGCGGUUUUGUAAGUCAGAUGUGAAAUCCCCGGGCUUAACCUGGGAACUGCGUUUGAAACUACAAGGCUAGAGUGUGGCAGAGGAGACUGGAAUUCCUGGUGUAGCAGUGAAAUGCGUAGAUAUCAGGAGGAAUACCGAUGGCGAAGGCAGGUCUCUGGGCUGACACUGACGCUCAUGCACGAAAGCGUGGGGAGCAAACAGG
rnacentral:rRNA from 1 species